AGGCAAGCCGGUGACGGCAAGCAAACCCCAAAAAUACCGUCCCAGUUCGGACUGUAGUCUGCAACCCGACUACACGAAGCCGGAAUCGCUAGUAAUCGCGGAUCAGAAUGCCGCGGUGAAUACGUUCCCGGGUCUUGUACACACCGCCCGUCACACCAUGGGAGUCGGAAAUGCCCGAAGUCAGUGACCGAACCGAAAGGAAGGAGCUGCCGAAGGUGGAGCCGGUAACUGGGGUGAAGUCGUAACAAGGUAAC
rnacentral:rRNA from 1 species